rnacentral:rRNA from 1 species
UAGCUUUAUUGAAACAUAGUAAUUUGGUAUACGUGGCAAAGAUAUUAAUCUUUGUCACAUUACCCCCCUUAUUAUUAUUGUCUAAAAUCAAGUUUUAAGAAUGUAAAAACCAAAAAAUUAUAUAACUUUUAACAAUGGAUCUCUAGGCUCUCACAUCGAUGAAGAACACAGUGAAAUGUGAUAAGUAAUGUGAAUUGCAGAAUUCAGUGAAUCAUCGAAUCUUUGAACGCACCUUGCGCCUUUUGGUAUUCCAAAAGGCACACCUGUUUGAGUGUCAUGAAACCUUCUCAUUAAUUAAUUUUAUUUUAUUAAGAUUUUUUAAUGGAUUUUGAGUGUUGCUGUAAUUGGCUCACUUUAAAUAUAUAAGUUUUUUUCAUACUUUGAUUUGGAUUGACUUAAUGUGAUAUAUUAUCUUCAUUAAGAAGUGUAUCUUUUUUAGAUACUGCCAUUUCUUUAUAGUAAUGAAAUUGCUUCUAACCUGUCAAUAUGACAAAUUCUUUUUUUAAGACCUCAAAUCAGGUGGGACUACCUGCUGAACUUAAGCAUAUCAAUAAGCAGAGGAAAAGAAACUAACAAGGAUUCCCCUAGUAACGGCGAGUGAAGAGGGAAAAGCCCAAAUUUGUAAUCUGGCUCUUUUAGAGUCCGAGUUGUAAUUUGAAGAGCUGUUUUCUGUGCUACCCCAUUUAUAAGUCUGUUGGAAAACAGCAUCAUUGAGGGUGAUAAUCCCGUUUAUGGAAUGGAUAAGUAGUACUAUAUGAUACAGUCUCUAAGAGUCGAGUUGUUUGGGAAUGCAGCUCAAAGUGGGUGGUAAAUUCCAUCUAAGGCUAAAUAUAGGUGAGAGACCGAUAGCAAACAAGUACCGUGAGGGAAAGAUGAAAAGAACUUUGGAAAGAGAGUUAACAGUACGUGAAAUUGUUAAAAGG